rnacentral:lncRNA from 1 species
CCCCAAGCAGGGGAGUGCCGGGGCAGGAAAGCUGCCAGAGCUCUGAGCAAACGUGCCUCCGUGGGCUGGGACCCAGAGCUGCGGCUGUCCCUUGGGAGGCGACCCGCAGAGCUGGCCAGCCCCCUCUGCCUCUGCUGACUUUGCAUCCCGGCGGAGCGCCAGGCUCGGUAGCACUGGAGGAUGGUGAAAAGCUGGUUCAGGAAACACUGUGUGGAGCUCAGAAAGAAAUUAACGGGGAAAAAAGCCAGCAAACAGCCUAGGCUAGGAGCUGGAAAACAAUCACCUACAUCACUUUAUAGACACCCAGAUAAGGGCUGGCUGAGCCUUUCCUGGAUGACACAUGCUCAAAGACUCUGAAUACUAGGUCUGGCCAGAAGAGAGGGAGCCAGGGAUGUGGUUGUCCACCAUGCUGUGACAUUGACCCAGUCCGUGACCUUGGGCAUAUUUUUUCCUGAUGUCUGUGUGUCUGUGUGGUUGCUUUGGUGUCCCAUCCUCUUCUCUGGGGCUAAUGUUCUCCAUCCUCAUUCAGCUGACAAGGCAAAGGGGUCACUCCUUCACUGCUCAGUUGGGCUUAGUUUCUGUUCCUUUAUACAGAGGACCUCAUCGUAUUGUCUCAGUAAACACGAACACAGAAGUGUUCUUUAAAAUGCUCUGGCCAUGAUGCAGCCUGUCUGGAUCUGCACAUGAACAUCCAAGCAUGAAGUUUGCUGCUUUAAGCCUCUGAAGGUUGAAGCUUGUGCUGAUUCCUUGAACUGCUCAUCAUCAAAGGGAUGUUUUGCCCAGAGAGAGAGGACCGGUGGUGUUUAUGAAAUGCAAGCGGAACAAUGUUGUUAUUUUUGCUUUCACUCAAUCAGUAAAAAUAAGAGCUCUUUUAUUUUCUAGUGAUGUUACUGUUUCUUUCUUCCUGCCUUUCCUUACACCUUAGCACACCCAGCUGUUGGCAUCUGCGGUGAUCACAACUGCACACCUGGGAAGCCUUGCUCCUCCCUGUCCCUGUGUGAAGGCAGGUUACACCGCAAGGUAAGUUGCUUGUCUCACUUGUGCACAUGCUCCCUGGCGGUGCUGACAGGGGACGGAAGCCAGUGGUGGGUGCCGGGGAAACAGUAGUCCAAAGCUGAUUGAUGGGUUAUUUAAUGCUGUGUUCCUAAAGAGUAAAAUAGACUAAUGGGGAGGGAGUGGGGUGUGUGUGAAGAAGAAAGAGUAAACCUGAGCACAUGCUGGAAAGGGAGAGAGAAAAAUAAACCUUUGCAUAUCUCUAAAAGUCAUCAUAAUUUUAUUUGCUGCCAAAACCACUCCCAUACCUCUGCCACUGCUGUAUGGCAUUUGCAGGGUGCAGAUGCGAAGUGAGGCAUCAGAUAAAACUAACUCUUCUUGGCUGAAGAAGUCAAGAGGGAAAUUCCUCGGAAAUUAAAAACAAAACCCAAAGCAACACCAAACAUAAAUUAAGCAGCGACUGCUGAAGGACUUUGAGUGUGUGGAAGUCUCUAUGACAUCCAGGUUGCUUGCCCAUCCUCAGCACGCUCCUCUGCCUCAGAGCACGGUUUAUUUCUUCCAUUAGAGAAUCACAGAAUGGUUUGAAGGGGCCCUAAAGAUCACCUAGUUCCAACCCUGCGCUGCGGGCAGGGACAGCUCCCACUACACCAAUGAUUUAACGAAAGCAACUACUAUUCACCAUAAUCACCCAGCAUUCACGAAUUCAUCCCAUUAAUAACCUACUUCACAACUAAACAGCCCUAUCGCAGGACAACCUCCCCUACCCACACCGCCAACAAACCCCUCCCGGCCCC